rnacentral:lncRNA from 1 species
AUGGCACGGCUGCUGCGGCGAGGACCUGUCGCGCUCUCUCUCUUCUUUCUGUCUUUGGUCCGUGGUUCUGAGGUGAUUGUAGGAGACGCGUUCACUUUCCAGGACACUUCCCACUGUAAAGCAGCUGAAGGCGAACUGAUUCACCGGGACCGAAACCAGCGGGUGGCGUUUCACACUGAAGGCGUGUGGAAACCUGACGACUAUUACAAGGACAGAGUUCAUUCAAACUCGUCCGUCUCCUUCGCUCGCACAGUUUUCACAGACUCUGGUACGUACGAGUUAAUCUGCGACCACAGUCAGGCUAAGUUUAUUGUCAUCCAGCUGAAGGUGGUUGCGCCACAUUACGCAUCAGUGUCGGAGGGAGACGCCGUCAAACUCCAGUGCUUUUAUGACACUAAAGCCUCAGCCGUGGAGUCCGUGGGGUGGAUGAAACACGGGGAGCUCGUGUUUGAGAGGAACUUUUCCUCCAGUGGAGUCAGACGUGGAGCGGGACACGAGGGGAGGGUGUCGAUGUCACGUGAAGCCUCUGGAGAUGGAGACCUGUCUGUGGAUGUGGCAGCGGCUCACGCGGAGGAUGCUGGAGACUACUUCUGCUACGUUCGCACGAAAGAAAGAGGAGAGAAUGAGUUUGUUGGUGCUGUGAGACUGACGGUCAACGGGAAAACCCUGAAUAAGACUAAGCCAACACAAAUCUGUCCUGAGGACAAAAGUUUGGGAUCUGGGACUAUUAUCGGUUUGAUAUUUGGAUUUUUAACUGUGGCCAUUCUUUUUACUCUUCUUGGCUGGUGCCUGACGUCUCACACUUAAAUAGUUCGUCCGUGCACCAGCCAGGAGGAGAAUCAGAGGCUGUGAACCCACAGCGUCCUCGUCCCCCUCAGAGCAAUGAAUGUUCACCAAUACAUAGUCAGGAAGAGGAGAGUCAUAAUGUCAUGACCAGUUAAUAAUGUUUUAAUCAGUGAGAGUUGACCCUAAUGAACUAAUAGCAUCACUCAGCCACCAAGCUGUGGAAUGCAACGUGUGACAUCAACACUCCUCAGGCUUUACACACUGAGUGGCACUGGUACAUGCUGUCAUGUUUUUAUUUACUCACUUUGCACUUGGUAAUUCAACGUGCUAUUUGAUCAUGUAAUUUAAAGUGCAUUUUCAGCAAUUCAGUGUUAAAAAGUGUCAAUUCAAAUAAAAGCUAAAUGAGUUGUUUCA